rnacentral:rRNA from 1 species
GAUCCUGGCUCAGGACGAACNCUGGCGGCGCGCCUAACACAUGCAAGUCGAACGAGAGAGAGGAAGCUUGCUUCCUCAAUCGAGUGGCGAACGGGUGAGUAACGCGUGAGGAACCUGCCUCAAAGAGGGGGACAACAGUUGGAAACGACUGCUAAUACCGCAUAAGCCCACGGCUCGGCAUCGAGCAGAGGGAAAAGGAGUAAUCCGCUUUGGGAUGGCCUCGCGUCCGAUUAGCUAGUUGG